ACAGCACUUGCAGCACCAGAGACCCGGGUUCGAUCUCGACGCUGGGCGCUGUCUGUACGGAGUUUGUACGUUCGCCCCGUGACUGCGUAGGUUUUCUCCAAGAUCGUCAGUUUCCUCCCACACACCAAAGACAUACAGUUCCCAAAGGAUAUACGUGUCCAAAAUUUUAAUAACGGCCUUUAUCAGGAGAUUUCACCACUGAGGUCACUCUUCAGCAUAGAAGAACAUGUCACAGCAGCAACGUAAAGACAUACCAGGUUAUUCUCCAAGAUUGACCUAGUCCAGGGAUAUCACCGGAUCCUUGAGCGACCAGAAGAUGUCCCCAAGAUGAUUUAGUGAUUCAGAUGGGAUUCAGGCACAAUGAAUUCUUGCAUUUUCGGCUUCUAUCAGUUUUUGAAAGUGAUGUGACCAGACUAGACCAGACAGUGAGAGCAAUGAAAAACGCUGGCAUUCUGAAUCAGGCUUUCAAAAGGCUCUGUGGAAAUAAAAAUAAAUACACCAAACCCUAAAUAUUACGAGGUCAUUCCUGCUGAAGAUAUGUCCAAUGAGCACAUGUUCAUCUGCACUUAACAUUUCCUGGAUCUAUUGCUGCAAAUUAGCUUCCAAUUUGGAAUCAGAUCAGUUUAUUGUUUCAUGCAUCAGAACGCAAUAACAUUCAUAGUUAACCAUAUAACCAUAUAACAAUUACAGCACGGAAACAGGCCAUUUCGGCCCUACAAGUCCGUGCCAAACAACUUUUUUUCCCUUAGUCCCACCUGCCUGCAAUCAUACCACAACUUUCCAUUCCCUUCUCAUCCAUAUACCUAUCCAAUUUAUUUUUAAAUGAUACCAAUGAACCUGCCUCCACCACUUCCACUGGAAGCUCAUUCCACACAGCUACCACUCUCUGAGUAAAGAAGUUCCCCCUCAUAUUACCCCUAAACUUCCGUCCCUUAAUUCUGAAGUCAUGUCCUUUUGUUUGAAUCUUCCCUAUUCUCAAAGGGAAAAGUUUGUCCACAUCAACUCUGUCUAUCCCUCUCAUCAUUUUAAAGACCUCUGUCAAGUCCCCCCUUAACCUUCCGCGCUCCAGAGAAUAAAGACCUAACUUAUUCAACCUAUCUCUGUAACUUAGUUGUUGAAACCCAGGCAACAUUCUAGUAAA